rnacentral:tRNA from 1 species
GCGGCUAUAGCUCAGUGGAUAGAGCAUUGGCCUCCGGAGCCAAGGGUCGUGCGUUCAACUCGCACUAGCCGCA